rnacentral:rRNA from 1 species
CAGUAGCCGCGGGAAUGCGAAGGGGGCUAGCGUUGAUCGGGAUUACUGGGCGUAAAGCGCACGUAGGCGGAUAUUUAAGUCAGGGGUGAAAUCCCAGAGCUCAACUCUGGAACUGCCUUUGAUACUGGGUAUCUUGAGUAUGGAAGAGGUGAGUGGAAUUCCGAGUGUAGAGGUGAAAUUCGUAGAUAUUCGGAGGAACACCAGUGGCGAAGGCGGCUCACUGGUCCAUUACUGACGCUGAGGUGCGAAAGCGUGGGGAGCAAACAGGAUUAGAUACCCCUGUAGUCCCUGUCUCUUAUAC